GACGAACGCUGGCGGCGUGCCUAACACAUGCAAGUCGAGCGAUCUUCUUCGGAAGAGAGCGGCGGACGGGUGAGUAACGCGUGGGUAACCUGCCUCAUACACAUGAAUAACAUACCGAAAGGUAUGCUAAUACAAGAUGAUAUAAGAGAUUCGCAUGGAUUUCUUAUCAAAGCUCCGGCGGUAUGAGAUGGACCCGCGUCUGAUUAGCUAGUUGGUAAGGUAACGGCUUACCAAGGCGGCGAUCAGUAGCCGACCUGAGAGGGUGAUCGGCCACAUUGGAACUGAGACACGGUCCAAACUCCUACGGGAGGCAGCAGUGGGGAAUAUUGCACAAUGGGCGAAAGCCUGAUGCAGCAACGCCGCGUGAGCGAUGAAGGCCUUCGGGUCGUAAAGCUCUGUCCUCAAGGAAGAUAAUGACGGUACUUGAGGAGGAAGCCCCGGCUAACUACGUGCCAGCCGCCGCCGUAACAC
rnacentral:rRNA from 1 species